rnacentral:rRNA from 1 species
AUUGAACGCUGGCGGCAUGCUUUACACAUGCAAGUCGAACGGUAACAGGGUGCUUGCACCGAUGACGAGUGGCGAACGGGUGAGUAAUGCGUCGGAACGUGCCGAGUAGUGGGGGAUAACGCAGCGAAAGUUGUGCUAAUACCGCAUACGUACUGAGGUAGAAAGUGGGGGACCUUCGGGCCUCACGCUAUUCGAGCGGCCGGCGUCUGAUUAGCUAGUAGGUGAGGUAAAGGCUCACCUAGGCGACGAUCAGUAGCGGGUCUGAGAGGAUGAUCCGCCACACUGGGACUGAGACACGGCCCAGACUCCUACGGGAGGCAGCAGUGGGGAAUUUUGGACAAUGGGCGAAAGCCUGAUCCAGCCAUGCCGCGUGUCUGAAGAAGGCCUUCGGGUUGUAAAGGACUUUUGUCAGGGAGGAAAUCCCUAGCGUUAAUACCGCUGGGGGAUGACAGUACCUGAAGAAUAAGCACCGGCUAACUACGUGCCAGCAGCCGCCGUAAAAC